CUACGGGUGGCUGCAGUGGGGAAUAUUGCACAAUGGGGGAAACCCUGAUGCAGCAACGCCGCGUGGAGGAUGACGCAUUUCGGUGUGUGAACUCCUUUUAUAUAGGAAGAUAAUGACGGUACUAUAUGAAUAAGCACCGGCUAACUCCGUGCCAGCAGCCGCGGUAAUACGGAGGGUGCAAGCGUUACUCGGAAUCACUGGGCGUAAAGCGCGCGCAGGCGGCCCCUUAAGUUGGAUGUGAAAGCCUACGGCUUAACCGUAGAACUGCAUCCAAAACUGAGGGGCUAGAGUCUGGGAGGGGAAGAUGGAAUUAGUUGUGUAGGGGUAAAAUCCGUAGAGAUAACUAGGAAUACCAAAAGCGAAGGCGAUCUUCUGGAACAGUACUGACGCUGAGGCGCGAAAGCGUGGGGAGCAAACAGGAUUAGAUACCCCGGUAGUC
rnacentral:rRNA from 1 species